CAACAGGAUAGAUACCUGGUAGUCCCGCCGUAACGAUUCUACUGGAGGUUUGGCCUGAGCGUGGUUUCGAGCUACGCGUUAAUAGCCGCCUGGGAGUACGGUCGCAAGAUUAAACUCAAAUGAAUUACGGGGGCCGCCAAGCGGGGAGCAGUGGUUAAUUCGAUGAACGCGAAGAACCUUACCUACUCUUGACAUCCAGAGAACUUUCCAGAGAUGGAUUGGUGCUUCGGGAACUCUGAGACAGGUGCUGCAUGGCUGUCGUCAGCUCGUGUUGUGAAAUGUUGGGUUAAGUCCCGCAACGAGCGCAACCCUUAUCCUUGUUUGCCAGCGAGUAAUGUCGGGAACUCCAGGGAGACUGCCGGUGAUAAAUUUGAGGGAAGGCUGGGACGGCGUCAAGUCAUCAUGGCCCUUACGAGUAGGGCAACACACGUGCUACAAUGGAGCAUACAGAUGGGCGGCCAACUCGCGAGAGUGAGCGAAUCCCAAAAAGUGCGUCGUAGUCCGGAUUGGAGUCUGCAACUCGACUCCAUGAAGUCGGAAUCGC
rnacentral:rRNA from 1 species